UACGGGGGGGGUAAGCGUUGUUCGGAAUUACUGGGCGUAAAGGGCUCGUAGGCGGCCAACUAAGUCAGACGUGAAAUCCCUCAGCUUAACUGGGGAACUGCGUCUGAUACUGGAUGGCUUGGAUUCGGGAGAGGAAUGCGGAAUUCCAGGUGUAGCGGUGAAAUGCGUAGAUAUCGGGAGGAACACCAGUAGCGAAGGCGACACUCUGGGCCGGUACUGACGCUGAGGAGCGAAAGCGUGGGGAGCAAACAGG
rnacentral:rRNA from 1 species